GGAGGAUCCGAGCGUUAUCCGGAUNNAUNGGGUNUAAAGGGAGCGUAGGUGGACUGGUAAGUCAGUNGUGAAAGUUUGCGGCUCAACCGUAAAAUNGCAGUNGAUACUGUCAGUCUUGAGUACAGUAGAGGUGGGCGGAAUUCGUGGUGUAGCGGUGAAAUGCUUAGAUAUCACGAAGAACUCCGAUUGCGAAGGCAGCUCACUGGACUGCAACUGACACUGAUGCUCGAAAGUGUGGGUAUCAAACAGGAUUAGAUACCCUGGUAGUCCACACAGUAAACGAUGAAUACUCGCUGUUUGCGAUAUACAGUAAGCGGCCAAGCGAAAGCACUAAGUAUUCCACCUGGGGAGUACGCCGGCAACGGUGAAACUCAAAGGA
rnacentral:rRNA from 1 species